GAUGAACGCUGGCGGCGUGCCUAAUACAUGCAAGUCGAGCGAACGGACGAGAAGCUUGCUUCUCUGAUGUUAGCGGCGGACGGGUGAGUAACACGUGGAUAACCUACCUAUAAGACUGGGAUAACUUCGGGAAACCGGAGCUAAUACCGGAUAAUAUUUUGAACCGCAUGGUUCAAAAGUGAAAGACGGUCUUGCUGUCACUUAUAGAUGGAUCCGCGCUGCAUUAGCUAGUUGGUAAGGUAACGGCUUACCAAGGCAACGAUGCAUAGCCGACCUGAGAGGGUGAUCGGCCACACUGGAACUGAGACACGGUCCAGACUCCUACGGGAGGCAGCAGUAGGGAAUCUUCCGCAAUGGGCGAAAGCCUGACGGAGCAACGCCGCGUGAGUGAUGAAGGUCUUCGGAUCGUAAAACUCUGUUAUUAGGGAAGAACAUAUGUGUAAGUAACUGUGCACAUCUUGACGGUACCUAACCAGAAAGCCACGGCUAACUACGUGCCAGCAGCCGCGGUAAUACGUAGGUGGCAAGCGUUAUCCGGAAUUAUUGGGCGUAAAGCGCGCGUAGGCGGUUUUUUAAGUCUGAUGUGAAAGCCCACGGCUCAACCGUGGAGGGUCAUUGGAAACUGGAAAACUUGAGUGCAGAAGAGGAAAGUGGAAUUCCAUGUGUAGCGGUGAAAUGCGCAGAGAUAUGGAGGAACACCAGUGGCGAAGGCGACUUUCUGGUCUGUAACUGACGCUGAUGUGCGAAAGCGUGGGGAUCAAACAGGAUUAGAUACCCUGGUAGUCCACGCCGUAAACGAUGAGUGCUAAGUGUUAGGGGGUUUCCGCCCCUUAGUGCUGCAGCUAACGCAUUAAGCACUCCGCCUGGGGAGUACGACCGCAAGGUUGAAACUCAAAGGAAUUGACGGGGACCCGCACAAGCGGUGGAGCAUGUGGUUUAAUUCGAAGCAACGCGAAGAACCUUACCAAAUCUUGACAUCCUUUGACAACUCUAGAGAUAGAGCUUUCCCCUUCGGGGGACAAAGUGACAGGUGGUGCAUGGUUGUCGUCAGCUCGUGUCGUGAGAUGUUGGGUUAAGUCCCGCAACGAGCGCAACCCUUAAGCUUAGUUGCCAUCAUUAAGUUGGGCACUCUAAGUUGACUGCCGGUGACAAACCGGAGGAAGGUGGGGAUGACGUCAAAUCAUCAUGCCCCUUAUGAUUUGGGCUACACACGUGCUACAAUGGACAAUACAAAGGGCAGCGAAACCGUGAGGUCAAGCAAAUCCCAUAAAGUUGUUCUCAGUUCGGAUUGUAGUCUGCAACUCGACUACAUGAAGCUGGAAUCGCUAGUAAUCGUAGAUCAGCAUGCUACGGUGAAUACGUUCCCGGGUCU
rnacentral:rRNA from 1 species